GAUGAACGCUGGCGGCGUGCCUAAUACAUGCAAGUCGAACGGGGAGUAGCAAUACUCUUAGUGGCGAACGGGUGAGUAACGCGUUGGUACCUGCCCCGAAGCGGGGGAUAACGGACCGAAAGGUCCGCUAAUACCCCAUGUGCUCGGUAACGAGUAAAGGUGAAAACCACUUUGGGAGGGGCCUGCGUCCCAUCAGCUAGUUGGUAAGGUAACGGCUUACCAAGGCGAUGACGGGUAGGGGACCUGAGAGGGUGGCCCCCCACAAUGGAACUGAAACACGGUCCAUACACCUACGGGUGGCAGCAGUAGGGAAUAUUGGUAAUGGGCGCAAGCCUGAACCAGCAACGCCGCGUGUGCGAUGACAGCCUUCGGGUUGUAAAGCACUUUUGACUGGGACGAGGAAGGACGGUACCGGUCGAAUCAGCCUCGGCUAACUACGUG
rnacentral:rRNA from 1 species